AACUUUUGCUCUUGGAAGUUAAUAUCUCGGGUAGUAUUAGUUAAGGGUAAUACUUAGCUAGCUUAAUACGCGUAGUCGUGACUGGAAGGUUGAUCGACCACAGUGGGACUGAAUAAAUCCCAUGACGAUUGUCUCAGCAGUGAGGAAUAUUGGUCAAUAGCCUAACGGCUGAACCAGCAACUUGGAGGAAUGUAUAGCGAAAGCUAGUUGCAUUUAACUUAGCAAAAGCUAAGUUGAUGCAGGAUUGACUAUGUCAAAUAAAGUUCUAGGUGGGCUAUNNNNNNNNNNNNNNCUAUCUAUGUGUCUUGACCAAAUUACGUGCCAGCAGUCGCGGUAACACSUAAAAGACUAGUGUUAUUCAUCUUUAAUAGGUUUAAAGGGUACCUAGACGGUAAAUCAAGUCCAAGAAGGGUACUAAUUUUACUAGAGUUUAAUAUGAGGGGGCACUAAAGUACUGAUAAGUGUAGAGAUGAAAUUCUGUGAUACAAUAUACGGCACUGGUAAAGGCGAAAGCAUCUCAUUAUGUAAUAACUGACGUUGAGGGACGAAGGCUAGGUGUAGCAAAAAGGAUUAGAUACCCAAGUAGUCUUAGCAGAAAAUUAUGAAUGUCAUAGGAUGGAAAG
rnacentral:rRNA from 1 species